UUUCUCCAGGUGGGCGCCCAAAUACGAAAACUUGAAUUGUAUUCCCUUGUUCUCCAGGUGGGCGCUUGAUUGCCGAAACUUUAACUGUAUUUCCUUAUUCUCCAGGUGGGCGCCUGAUUGCGAAAACUGGAAAUGUAUUCCCUUGUUCUCCAGGUGGGCGUAUGAUUGCCAAAACUUGAACUGUAUUCCCUUGUUCUCCAGGUGGGUGCCUGAUUGCCAAAACUUUGAACUAUAUUUCCCUGUUCUCCAAGUGGGCGCCUGAUUGCCGAAAUUUGAACUAUAUUCCCUUGUUCUCCUUGAACUGUAUUCCCUUGUUCUAAAGGUGGGUGCCUGAUUGCCCAAACUUGAACUGUAUUCCCUUGUUCUCCAGGUGGGUGCCUAAUUGCAAAAACCUGAACUGCAUUCCCUUGUUCUCCAGGUGGGCGCCUGAUUGCUGAAACUUUAACUGUAUUUCCUUGUUCUCCAGGUGGGCGCCUGAUUGCGAAAACUUGAACUAUAUUCCCUUGUUCUCCAGGUGGGUGCCUGAUUGCCAAAACUUUAAUUGUAUUCCCUUGUUCUCCAGGUAGGCGUCUGAUUGCCAAAACAUUAACUGUAUUUCCUUGUUCUCCAGGAGGGCGCCUGAUUGCCAAAACUUUAACUGUGUUCACAUGUUCUACAGGUAGGCGCCUGAUUGCCAAAACAUUAACGGUAUUCCCUUGUUCUCCAGGUGGGCGCCUGAUUGCCAAAACUUGAACUAUAUUCCCUUGUU
rnacentral:lncRNA from 1 species